rnacentral:tRNA from 1 species
AAACUAUUUAUAUUUGUUUUGAAAACAAGUUUUAAGAAUUAUUUUCUUGUAGUUUU